AACAUUUUGGCCGCAGACCUUGGACAUUCCAACAGGACUGAGUACCAUCGCACACAGUACGCUCCACCCAAGAAUGGUUAAAAAAUGAGGUUACUCGCUUCAUUUCCAGCACACAAUGGACAUCAAAAUCUCCGGAUACCAAUCCCUUGGACUAUUGUGCCUGGAGUAUUUUGGAAAGCAAGGUAGGCAAUAAAAACCACACUUCGCCGGGAAUGGGCCAAAAUACCGCAGAGCAACAUUCGGGCAGCGUGUGACGGUUUCAUUGGCCGUUUAAAGGCCAUAAUUAGUGCUAAACGUGACCAAUUCGAACAAAUCUAAAUAAACUUAUUCUAAAAUUUGA